rnacentral:piRNA from 1 species
UGAGGUUCCUUGCUCAUGCUAUGAUGUC